GCUCCUGACAUUAAACCUGUUAUUGCUGUAGAGUGGAGCAGAAAAGAUCUGGGGUCAGAAUAUGUUCUUCUCUACAGAAAUAACCAGUCUGAUCUAGAACACCAGCAUCCAUCCUUUAAGAAACCGGGUGGAUCUGCAGGAGGAACAGAUCAAGGAUGGAGACGUGUCUCUGGUUCUGAAGAACGUCUCUACUGAUGACAGAGGAACAUAUGAGUGUCUAGUUAUCCAGACGGUAACAAACCACAACAGAGAGACGGUUCUCUACAUAAACCUGGAUGUAGUUCCUCCUCCAGGGGAGCCUGAUGACGGGAGCAAACGUGGAUCUGAUGGAUAGAGGGCUGGAGUGUUUGUUGGAGUUGUUGUACCUGCCAUAAUUAUAAUUGUUGCUAUAGUUGCUAUUUUUCUUAAAAGAAAAUCAAAUCUAGACCUGCUUCCUGGAGCAGCAGCUGGACCUCAGCAGAGUUUAAUGGCUCAGCUGGUCCAGAUCUGCUCUAAAAGCCGUUCCAGGCUGGACUUGUUGCCUCGUUAUUCUGUAAAGCUUUAGACUGAAUGUCAGGAUCCUGUUACAGUAUUGUUACUUUUAGAAGUUUCUGUAUUUAAACCU